rnacentral:rRNA from 1 species
UACGUAGGGUGCAAGCGUUGUCCGGAAUUAUUGGGCGUAAAGAGCUCGUAGGCGGUUUGUCGCGUCUGCUGUGAAAACUCGGGGCUUAACCCCGGGCCUGCAGUGGGUACGGGCAGACUAGAGUGCGGUAGGGGAGACUGGAAUUCCUGGUGUAGCGGUGAAAUGCGCAGAUAUCAGGAGGAACACCGGUGGCGAAGGCGGAUCUCUGGGCCGUAACUGACGCUGAGGAGCGAAAGCAUGGGGAGCGAACAGG